UCAUGAAAACACCGAAGUUAAGCAACGUCGAGCCUAGUUAGUAGUUAGAUGGGUGUCCGCUUUGGAAUACCAUGUGCUGUAA